UGAGGGAUAUCAUAAAUAAUGUGGUCGUUUUCGGCACGGCUUAUGGGAUCUUUUCUCUCCCUUAU
rnacentral:tRNA from 1 species